GGGUCGUUAGCUCAGUUGGUAGAGCAGUUGGCUUUUAACCAAUUGGUCGCUGGUUCGAAUCCAGCACGACCCACCA
rnacentral:tRNA from 74 species